rnacentral:tRNA from 1 species
GCUCAGUUGGUAAAGCACAAGGCUUUUACCCUUGUGGACGUGGAUUCAAGCCCCAU